GAUGAACGCUGGCGGCGUGCUUAACACAUGCAAGUCGAACGAGGUCCAACCUUCGGGUGAAGACCUAGUGGCGAACGGGUGAGUAACACGUGGGGAACCUGCCCUUCUCUCUGGGAUAACGUCGAGAAAUCGGUGCUAAUACCGGAUACUCCUUGCGGAUCGCAUGGUCUGCUCGGGAAAGCUUUUGCGGAGAUGGAUGGCCCCGCGGCCCAUUAGCUAGUUGGUGAGGUAACGGCCCACCAAGGCGACGAUGGGUAGCCGAGCUGAGAGACUGAUCGGCCACACUGGGACUGAGACACGGCCCAGACUCCUACGGGAGGCAGCAGUGGGGAAUUUUGCACAAUGGGCGCAAGCCUGAUGCAGCAACGCCGCGUGCGGGAUGAAGGCCCUCGGGUUGUAAAGCUCUUUCGGCAGGAACGAAACGGUGGGCUCUAACAUAGCCUGCUAAUGACGGUACCUGAAGAAGAAGCACCGGCUAACUAC
rnacentral:rRNA from 1 species